rnacentral:lncRNA from 1 species
CUAACACGAAUUUACAAGUUCACAAUAGUAUUUCCAACUUAGUAUCACACUUAGACAAAAUGUAAAAUUCCUUACUUUUCUACAAAAAAUAAAUGUGUACCUACCUCGUCUCAAAUGCCUAUCAAAUAUAUAAAUUAUUUAUUUUUUGUUGAUAUUUGAUUUGCAUUAAUUUUUUAUGCCAUUCCCUCGAAAAAAUUUAAUGUCUAACAUGCUCCGAUUUAAAAUUCAAUCUAUGGUUAUAUGCAUGUCAGCUGAUUUACGGUCACAUCGACAACAGAAUCGAUGGCGGUCGGAAGAGCACGUUAUUCUUAAACGUUUUAACUAUAUUAUAACAUGAACUAUGAAAAAAAUAGUAACUACUAUCAGAAGUUAAUUAUUUUUCACCUUUACGUUUUGGUUACGAUCUUAGGUACCAAAGCCUUACCUUUAGUAGUUUUUAGUAAUGGUAAUUGGCUUUUGGCAAUACACAGGUAUUAAUAUUAAAAUGUGGAUGUAUUAUUUACAUUAUUUCUUGUGAAUUGUGAUAACAACACAAUUAUCUAUUUUUUUGGAAUGUCUACCGGUAUCGAAAAAUGGUCGUUGAAAGGAUUACUGGACGAGUACGAAUUAACAAAAUUAUGUGAAAUUGUCAGGUCUGUCUAUUACGAAGCAUAAGGGUAGAACACUUGAGAAGGUAAGUAUACAUUUAAAGAAUUUAAUAAAUUUUAAUAAUUAUUGAAUAUUAUGAAAUCAGAGCUAAGUUUCCAAAAUCAACAAAAUCAAUAAUAUAAUAUAUUUAUCUAUAUAAUUGAAAAAAACAUAAUCAUAUAAAUUUCUGAUAAUAUACAGUUGUCAAUGUUGAAUAUGCGAUUCAAUAUAUCAAUUUGUAUUUUUGUUCACCGUUACAAUUAAGUUAAAUUUUUUUUUUGUUAUUUUUUAUAUGCCUACUAUUUUGUUUUAUUAUUAUUAUUUUGAAAAUAAGACAUUCGUAGCAAUUUAGCUAUUUACUGCUACAAAUAUUAGCAAUAUACAUAAUUUUUGAUGGUUUUAUCAUGGUUAAUGAUGAAAUUAAAUAAUUACUAAUGAUUAUUAUGUUUGUUUUAGAUGCUGAAGUUUUACUACUGUCUCAAUCGUACACACAAGUAAAAAGUUUCUGAUAACUAACUUUAUACAUUUUAUAGUUUCCAAAAGCUUAUUCUCCUUGCUUAAUCUGUCAAAAAAUUAAUAGAUUCUGACGUUCAAGACAUCACAUUGUUCAAAAACCAUACGGGCUAUAUGAAGCCACCAAUACAACCUGACAAUUUCCCAUAAUUCUGUUGAUUCAAACUUUUCCAGCAAUUCUUUCAACUACCAUUUUUUUUGUUGCCAGUAGAUAUUCUGAGAAAUCUGAUUUUGGAAUACAAUUAUUAACUGAAACACAGGAUGUUAGUAAUUCGUCGGAACUGUAUUUUAUAAGAAAGUUUUUUUUUUCGAAAAAAUAAUUUUUACCCAAUGAAGAUGACAUGCAGUUAUGGAGUGCUUAUUAAUUAAAUUAUAUUGAACAGUUCUAACAAAAUACUGUAACAAAAAAAAAUUUUCUGACGAUUUAUUUUUCCGGUAUAUAUAUAAGCAUAUGACUUCGGCAUAAUUAAAUAAAUAAAUAA